AUUGAACGCUGGCGGCAUGCCUUACACAUGCAAGUCGAACGGUAACGCGGGGGCAACCCUGGCGACGAGUGGCAAACGGGUGAGUAAUACAUCGGAACGUACCCAGUAGUGGGGGAUAGCUCGGCGAAAGCCGGAUUAAUACCGCAUACGCACUACGGUGGAAAGCGGGGGAUCGCAAGACCUCGCGCUAUUGGAGCGGCCGAUGUCGGAUUAGCUUGUUGGUGGGGUAAGAGCCUACCAAGGCGACGAUCCGUAGCUGGUCUGAGAGGACGACCAGCCACACUGGGACUGAGACACGGCCCAGACUCCUACGGGAGGCAGCAGUGGGGAAUUUUGGACAAUGGGCGAAAGCCUGAUCCAGCAAUGCCGCGUGUGUGAAGAAGGCCUUCGGGUUGUAAAGCACUUUUGUCCGGAAAGAAAUCUGUCUGGCUAAUACCUGGGGUAAUGACGGUACCUGAAGAAGAAGCACCGGCUAACUACGUGCCAGCCGCCGCAGUAA
rnacentral:rRNA from 1 species